rnacentral:rRNA from 1 species
UACGAAGGGGGCUAGCGUUGCUCGGAAUCACUGGGCGUAAAGCGCACGUAGGCGGCUUGCUAAGUCAGGGGUGAAAUCCUGGAGCUCAACUCCAGAACUGCCUUUGAUACUGGCGAUCUCGAGUCCGGGAGAGGUGAGUGGAACUGCGAGUGUAGAGGUGAAAUUCGUAGAUAUUCGCAAGAACACCAGUGGCGAAGGCGGCUCACUGGCACGGUACUGACGCUGAGGUGCGAAAGCGUGGGGAGCAAACAGG